AUUGAACGCUGGCGGCGGGCCUAAUACAUGCAAGUCGAGCGAGCGGCGAGCGGGUGUGUACUGUCUGGUAACCUGCCUGUUGCAUGCGGAUAACUGCUGGAAACGGUAUCUAAUCCCGCAUUCCAUCAGAUUUGCGCUGAGGGUGUUAGCUGGUAGGUGGGGUAACGGCUCACCUAGGCGACGAUCCCUAGCUGGUCUGCGAGGGUGACCAGCCACACUGGAACUGAGACACGGUCCAGAAUCCUACGGGAGGCAGCAGUGGGGAAUAUUGGGCAAUGGGCGCAAGCCUGAUGGAGCCAUGCCGCGUGAGUGAAGAAGGCCUUCGGGUUGUAAAGCACUGUCAGCGGGGAGGCGUUACCAAAAGAGGAAGCACCGGCUAACUCCGUGCCAGCAGCCGCGGUAAUAC
rnacentral:rRNA from 1 species